AGUGAACGCUGGCGGUAGGCCUAACACAUGCAAGUCGAACGGCAGCACAGUAAGAGCUUGCUCUUACGGGUGGCGAGUGGCGGACGGGUGAGGAAUACAUCGGAAUCUACUUUUUCGUGGGGGAUAACGUAGGGAAACUUACGCUAAUACCGCAUACGACCUACGGGUGAAAGCAUGGGAUCUUCGGACCUUGCGCGAUUGAAUGAGCCGAUGUCGGAUUAGCUAGUUGGCGGGGUAAAGGCCCACCAAGGCGACGAUCCGUAGCUGGUCUGAGAGGAUGAUCAGCCACACUGGAACUGAGACACGGUCCAGAAUCCUACGGGAGGCAGCAGUGGGGAAUAUUGGACAAUGGGCGCAAGCCUGAUCCAGCCAUACCGCGUGGGUGAAGAAGGCCUUCGGGUUGUAAAGCCCUUUUGUUGGGAAAGAAAAGCAGCAGGUUAAUACCCCGCUGUUCUGACGGUACCCAAAGAAUAAGCACCGGCUAACUUCGUG
rnacentral:rRNA from 1 species